AUGAACGCUGGCGGCGUGCCUAAUACAUGCAAGUCGAGCGAACAGACGAGGAGCUUGCUCCUCUGACGUUAGCGGCGGACGGGUGAGUAACACGUGGAUAACCUACCUAUAAGACUGGGAUAACUUCGGGAAACCGGAGCUAAUACCGGAUAAUAUAUUGAACCGCCUGGUUCAAUAGUGAAAGACGGUUUUGCUGUCACUUAUAGAUGGAUCCGCGCCGCAUUAGCUAGUUGGUAAGGUAACGGCUUACCAAGGCAACGAUGCGUAGCCGACCUGAGAGGGUGAUCGGCCACACUGGAACUGAGACACGGUCCAGACUCCUACGGGAGGCAGCAGUAGGGAAUCUUCCGCAAUGGGCGAAAGCUUGACGGAGCAACGCCGCGUGAGUGAUGAAGGUCUUCGGAUCGUAAAACUCUGUUAUUAGGGAAGAACAAAUGUGUAAGUAACUAUGCACGUCUUGACGGUACCUAAUCAGAAAGCCACGGCUAACUACGUG
rnacentral:rRNA from 1 species